CCUAAUAAAAUGUUAUUAAAUAGUUUGAAAGCUGAAUUCAUUUAGCCUGUAUAAUGUAUGUUUGUCUUCAGACAACAAAUAAUUUAAUAUGCCGUUAAUUCACUAUUUGGAAAUGUUUUCGUGAACGGGGAAUUUUUUUCAGUCCUCCGUGGAAAUCAACAAACUGAAACGUGAUAAAACACGGUUCCCACACAAGCAGAACAGCAUUGGUUAUUUAGCUUCGAACAAACAUGUAAAUUGUAAUUGUAAGGAGGUGCUUUGACAAUUUGUCUGAAGACUUUUGGUUGUUAGGACUGGAUACGCUAGAUAUUGGAUGGCUGAAUCCCAUGGAUCUACUUCAUAUGGAUAAAUUCGUCUCACUAAUGUUUUGUAUAAAGUUAAGUGAGUUUCGGGAAUCAAAAAAGUUUUCUGUCGUAUUCGUCUUGUGUUAAGUUGUCACAUAAGUUUUUGUGGAGAUACCAUGUCAAUCUGUAAUCUAGCGUUUACUCUUGUCCUCCACUUUAUCUACCAGCAGACUUUGAAAAGCUCAAGCUUUUAGAAGACAGAGUUGCGGUGUUAUCCGUGUAUGAGGCACUAACCUGCGAACGGGAAGUCACUGACGAACUCUUCGACGUAAUCGGGAGGACUGGAAGAUAUCUGAACGUUAGCGCCUGUGGGCGAAG